rnacentral:rRNA from 1 species
UACGUAGGAGGCGAGCGUUGUCCGGAAUCACUGGGCGUAAAGCGCGUGUAGGCGGUGAGGGAAGUCUGCUGUGAAAACGCUCCGCUUAACGGGGCGAGGUCGGUGGAAACUCCCUGACUGGAGGACGGUAGAGGUAGGUGGAAUUCCCGGUGUAGUGGUGAAAUGCGUAGAGAUCGGGAGGAACACCUGUGGCGAAGGCGGCCUACUGGGCCGGACCUGACGCUGAGACGCGAAGGCGCGGGGAGCGAACGG